rnacentral:rRNA from 1 species
GAUGAACGCUGGCGGCGUGCCUAAUACAUGCAAGUCGAGCGAACAGACGAGGAGCUUGCUCCUCUGACGUUAGCGGCGGACGGGUGAGUAACACGUGGAUAACCUACCUAUAAGACUGGGAUAACUUCGGGAAACCGGAGCUAAUACCGGAUAAUAUAUUGAACCGCAUGGUUCAAUAGUGAAAGACGGUUUUGCUGUCACUUAUAGAUGGAUCCGCGCCGCAUUAGCUAGUUGGUAAGGUAACGGCUUACCAAGGCGACGAUGCGUAGCCGGCCUGAGAGGGGGAACGGCCAAACCGGGACUGGAACACGGUCCAGACUCCUACGGGGGGCAGCAGUAGGGAAUCUUGCGCAAUGGGCGAAAGCCUGACGGAGCAACGCCGCGUGAGUGAUGAAGGUCUUCGGAUCGUAAAACUCUGUUAUUAGGGAAGAACAAAUGUGUAAGUAACUAUGCACGUCUUGACGGUACCUAAUCAGAAAGCCACGGCUAACUACGUG